AGAGAGUGCAAGCGUUAAUCGGAAUUACUGGGCGUAAAGCGCGCGUAGGCGGAUACUUAAGUCAGAUGUGAAAGCCCCGAGCUUAACUUGGGAACUGCAUCUGAAACUGGGUGUCUAGAGUAUGGUAGAGGGAAGUGGAAUUUCUGGUGUAGCGGUGAAAUGCGUAGAUAUCAGAAAGAACACCAGUGGCGAAGGCGACUUCCUGGACCAAUACUGACGCUGAGGUGCGAAAGCGUGGGGGGAGCAAACAGGAUUAGAGACCCUGGUAGUCCACGCCCGUCAACGAUGAGAACUAGAUGUUGGGAGGUUUACCUCUUAGUAUCGAAGCUAACGCGUUAAGUUCUCCGCCUGGGAGUACGGCCGCAAGGCUA
rnacentral:rRNA from 1 species